rnacentral:rRNA from 1 species
UACGUAGGGAGCAAGCGUUGUCCGGAAUCAUUGGGCGUAAAGCGCGCGGUAGGUGGCUUCAUAAGUCCGUUGUGAAGUCAAAGGCUCAACCUUUGAAAGCCGAUGGAUACUGUGAAGCUAGAGUACGGAAGAGGCGAGUGGAAUUCCUGGUGUAGCGGUGGAAUGCGCAGAUAGUCAGGAGGAACACCAAUAGCGAAGGCAGCUCGCUGGGACGUUACUGACACUGAGGCGCGAAAGCGUGGGGAGCAAACAGG